UGAUGCUGUAGGGUGCUGCUCUCCAGCCCUUAUCAUCUUCUGCUUUUGCAGGGGGCAAGACCUUCCCUGGGAGAAAUGUUGUACCUCUCCAAUGCUUGGGAAAUAAAAUGUAAGCUGAAGAAAGGGGAAGAAAAUAAACAACAAAGCUUGUUGGCCAGGCUCCUAUGAUGGGGGCUGCUUUCUCGAGUCUGGGAUGGAAGAGCAUCUGGAGGUACAGUAAAACACAGGUUGAACUGAUCCAGAUGCUCUUUUGGAGGGGGCAGACAGUCCUGAGAAGAGCCUGGUUUAUGAGAUGUAAGGGCUCUCUGAAAAAAAGAAAAGUCAGGAGCAGUUGGAAAUGCAGGAACAUCUCUGCUUGCAAAUGCUUUCACACACAGUUGGGAGCGGCGUCCAGCCUGCUCUCUGGCAUGCAGGCCGAUUGACUUGCCCUGUGCCAAAGAUUUUCGUGUUCUGUGCUUUUUCUACUGCAUGAGUGUCAGCUUUAGAGUUCAUGGUGGGAGCAUUCAGACCUAGUGCAGCUGUGCCUGCUGCUACAACAGCUACUUCAUAUCCCAGACAGGUCACAGCACAGGACAAAAAGCAGCUGUGCAUGGUCCAUGAGUCAGGAAGCAUUUUCCACCUGGGAAGAAAGCUGUUAUGCCAGUAGAUUACGUACCUUAACUCUCUAAAGUUACUAGAAAGGUGCUGACUAUUUCUACUUAGUAUUGUAAACUGUGUGACUAGAACUCCCUUAUAAUGGGCAGUAAUUUUGAAUCAAUAGCUUUGAUUUCUGUAUUUUCACAUUUUUUACUAACAAACAAGAGAAUAAGAGGCUGAGUUAAACAUCUGUGCUAAUGAGCAUGCAUCUGACUUCACAGCUUCAGCAAUUUAUUACUGAAGCUUUACUAACAUUUUAAUCAUGGAAAUAGCUAAUUAGCGAAAAUUAAAAGUUAAUGUUUUUCUCAAAUAGUACUGGUUUAUGACAGUAUUUUGGCUUGUGAUACAAGGAAACAAACUCUUGCACUCUGAACAUCCUUCUCCUCUUCUGGCACAAUUUUUCAGGUAUCUGAAAACAGUUACUUUCUCCCUUCAAAGCCUUAAGUGUUUCUGGUCGAAACAUCAGGUUUACUGACACCUGGGGCCAGAGCUACUGCUUGGUGACAAUGGGGAGAGGCCAGCGCCUGAGCUAGGGUGCCACGGAUACAAAUAAAGAUGGGGGGGCACUGGUUUGUGAGAUUUAUGUAGAACCUGUGACAUUUGCCAGAUUGCUGCCCACAUCCAGUGUCUCUUCAAGAGAGCGAAUUCUGCACCAUUUUUAAAAGGACUUAGCUUACUGAUUUCCCUCCUUCCUUUUGCUUUAUUGAAAAAAAAUAUUCUGGAUCUGCAUAAUUUAAAGGUUUGGUAGUCCUCAUCGAAUAGUUUAAAAUUCAGGAGCAAGCACGUGGUAUUUUCUCUCUGGGGAGCAAUCAUAGCUGCAGUAACUUGGUCCGCUGCAGAUCUGGCAGAAAGGACUUAUACUUGAUUUUUAAUUACUUUAGUAUAUUUCUUAGAGAAAAGCAAGAGCAGAAAUCAAGUCACCUGGUACAUUUUACACCUGCUAAAAGUACCCCUAAUGGGGUGCUAUAUCCUCCUAGGUAUGGCAGCUUGCCACUGCCAGUCAGGAACAGCAAUGAUGCUCCAGUAGUUGUUCACUGUAUUCAUGCUGUUUAGAUUUCUAAUAAAGGUUUGUUAUCUGUUGUUGGGAGACAGUAAUAAUAUAUCAGUUUCCUGAAGACGCCACUACUCCACCAGGGUUCCUAUGGUGUUUUGUAAGUUCCAGGUCAUAGGCUAACCUGAACAACUUUACUGGUUUUUCUCUGAAGCUGCCUUAUGCUGAAGAGUGUGCCCAGAGCUCUGAGAUGUUUUUGCCCCUGCUCAUUACAAGACUGAAGCUCACCUGUGCCUAAGGACAAGCCCUCCUUGCCAAAAUCCUUCUGGAGCACCAGCAUGCAUAACGUCCCUUGGAAACUGGUACAGGACAGUCCCUGAAGCCUCUGGAGCACUGCAGAAUGCUGUCCCAAGAGCUAACUGUUUGGAAAUGCCAAAUUACUUAAAAUCCCAUACAUAUCACAAAACUCAAGCAGUCAAGAAAGGAGACUCAAGAAUUCAGCUGUAUUUAAUGUACUCUUGCAAAAUGUUUUAUAGUAGCUUAUUUUUGUGAUAAAUAAGAGGGCAUGCUGUCAUUCACCUCCUUUCUCUGUUUCCUAUGUGUUAGCCAAGGGUAAAAAAUACUCGGGUAAUGCACUGCAGCCGUGGUGGCUUUAUAUGAAGAUAAAUUCCUGAGGCUGGGAUAUUGUGAGUAGUCUGAAAAAAUGUUGUGCAUUCUUCUUUCUUCAUUUAAAUAGAAGAAGCAUGGAAAGUUUGCAAAGGCUGGGGGUGGAAGAAAUGUUUGCUGUUUUCCAGAAGUGGGUGAGAGGUUGGAAUACAAUUGAAAUUAGAUUGUUCAGCUGGUCCUUGAUGGUACAGAUGAAGCCUAUUUGGAUGGAGUUUUAAACUACUUUAUUUCAGUUACUUUAAUCACAGUUUUUGAAACCUCAUAUACAGUCUACUUGGGGGUGAGUAUGAGCUCAGCUGGAAGCUCACUCUGUCGAAUGCUCAGUAUUAAAUUUUCCAACAAGCAGUAAA